GGAAUAUUGCACAAUGGAGGGAACUCUGAUGCAGCCAUGCCGCGUGUGUGAAGAAGGCCUUCGGGUUGUAAAGCACUUUUACUGCGGAGAAGGGUUGAUGCAAUAAUAAGGCAUUAACCGGAUGUUACGCAGGGAAUAAGAACCGGCAAACUCCGUGCCAGCAGCCGCGGUAAUACGGAGGGUUCGAGCGUUAAUCGGAAUGACUGGGCGUAAAGGGCUGGUAGGUGGCUUUGUGAGUCGGCAGUGAAAUCCCCGUGCUUAACAUGGGAACUGCUGCCGAAACAGCAGAGCUGGAGUAUGGCAGAGGGAAACAGAAUUCCAAGUGUAGCGGUGAAAUGCGUAGAGAUUUGGAAGAAUACCAGAGGCGAAAGCGGUUUUCUGGGCCAAUACUGACACUGAGCAGCGAAAGCGUGGGGAGCAAACA
rnacentral:rRNA from 1 species